ensembl:lncRNA
AUGUUUGUCUUUCUCCCGUGCGUGCAAACACUGAAUCUGUGUGUGUGUGUGUGUGUGUGUGUGUGUGUGUGUGUGCGUGUGCGUGUGCGUGUGCGCGGCCUGUUGUUUGUGCUGACCAGAGAGCAGUUGCUGACUGCGCUCACCCCGGGUAUUUUUGGGUCAUGCUGGAGUUGGAUGGCAACAGAGCGCUGUGAGCACGGCCAACCAACCGAAAAAGGAAAAAGGGGGGAAAAAAGCUCAUUGGGAGCAAACGCAGCGCGACGCGACGCGUUCUCAUCUGACACGAGCGCCACUCACAAAUACAUCAGCCACGAGGCCUCAGCUGCUCCGCCGCUGAUCCUCAGAUCAGCCGAAGCUCUUAAACCCGCCUCUGAAUGGAGGCCGGUUACACAGAGAGAAAAAGGGAAGAAGAAGAAGAAGAAGAAGAAGAAGAAGAAGAAGAAGAAAGCGCGCCGAAGAGGAGGGGCCGAAGUGGGCUACGGCACACAAAGUGCUCCGGGAUGCGUGAAGCGAACGCAGCGCUUGGUUCUGCCCUCUGGUGGCGUGACGGCAGGCGGCUCGCUGCAGGAGGAGAAAGGCUUCCAGAUCUCUACGAAUCAGGACAACAGACCCCGAGUCGCCUUCACACCACCAGCGGCCGAGGGCCUCCGUCAGGUGGAGCAGCGCUGCAGCACCACACUGCCGGUGACUGUGCCAGCGCACGCGCACACACACACACACACACACUUAUGCAUACAAACCACUGCACGCGCACGCACAACUCAAGCUCCUCUCUGCUGUCCCAGCAUGCACCCUGGUUACCUGGCUGCUGUCCCGCUAGCAACAGCUGCUGCAACAGGACGUGACGUUCCUCUGCAGGAUAGCGCAUGUAAAGGACCCCCCCUCCCUCCCCGGGGUAAAUGGACCGGCUUCUAUGUAUUCAUAUGUACUCAAAUCACUUUACAUCCAGACGUUUAGACAGAUAAUGAAAAUGAUGCACUUUGUGGUAACGAGCAGCUCCAUCACCUGAGCCACAACCCCCCCCCCCCCCCAUAUUAUGUAAAGAGGAGCUGUGUGGGAGCUUGGAGUGCAGCUCUGAA